rnacentral:rRNA from 1 species
AGUGAACGCUGGUGGUAGGCCUAACACAUGCAAGUCGAACGGCAGCACAGAGGAGCUUGCUCCUUGGGUGGCGAGUGGCGGACGGGUGAGGAAUACAUCGGAAUCUACUCUGCCGUGGGGGAUAACGUAGGGAAACUUACGCUAAUACCGCAUACGACCUACGGGUGAAAGCAGGGGAUCUUCGGACCUUGCGCGAUUGAAUGAGCCGAUGUCGGAUUAGCUAGUUGGCGGGGUAAAGGCCCACCAAGGCGACGAUCCGCAGCUGGUCUGAGAGGAUGAUCAGCCACACUGGAACUGAGACACGGUCCAGACUCCUACGGGAGGCAGCAGUGGGGAAUAUUGGACAAUGGGCGCAAGCCUGAUCCAGCCAUACCGCGUGGGUGAAGAAGGCCUUCGGGUUGUAAAGCCCUUUUGUUGGGAAAGAAAUCCAUCUGGUUAAUACCCGGGUGGGAUGACGGUACCCAAAGAAUAAGCACCGGCUAACUUCGUGCCAGCCGCCGCCGUAA